rnacentral:rRNA from 1 species
CAGCACCUCAAGUGGUCAGGAUGAUUAUUGGGCCUAAAGCAUCCGUAGCCGGCUCUGUUAGUUUUCGGUUAAAUCUGUACGCUCAACGUACAGGCUGCCGGGAAUACUGCAGAGCUAGGGAGUGGGAGAGGUAGACGGUACUCGGUAGGGAGGGGUAAAAUCCUUUGAUCUAUUGAUGACCACCUGUGGCGAAGGCGGUCUACCAGAACACGUCCGACGGUGAGGGAUGAAAGCUGGGGGAGCAAACCGGAUUAGAUACCCGAGUAGUCC